UACAGAGGGUGCAAGCGUUGUUCGGAAUUAUUGGGCGUAAAGCGCGUGUAGGCGGCUUUGCAAGUCGGGUGUGAAAGCCCUCAGCUUAACUGAGGAAGUGCGCCCGAAACUGCAGAGCUUGAAUACCGGAGAGGAUGGCGGAAUUCCCCAAGUAGAGGUGAAAUUCGUAGAUAUGGGGAGGAACACCGGUGGCGAAGGCGGCCAUCUGGACGGCUAUUGACGCUGAGACGCGAAAGCGUGGGGAGCGAACAGG
rnacentral:rRNA from 1 species